AGUCGAGAAUCUUCGGCAAUGGGCGAAAGCCUGACCGAGCGAUGCCGCGUGCGGGAUGAAGGCCCUCGGGUUGUAAACCGCUGUCGUAGAGGAGAAAGGUCUGAUGAAGAAUCAGAUUUGAUCUAUUCUAGGAGGAAGUCCGGGCUAAGUUCGUGCCAGCAGCCGCGGUAACACGAACCGGACAAACGUUAUUCGGAAUUAUUGGGCUUAAAGGGUGCGUAGGCGGUGCGGUAAGUGCGGUGUGAAAGCCCUCGGCUCAACCGAGGAAUUGCGCUGCAUACUGCCGUGCUGGAGGGAGACAGAGGUAAGCGGAACUGAUGGUGGAGCGGUGAAAUGCGUUGAUAUCAUCAGGAACACCGGUGGCGAAAGCGGCUUACUGGGUCUUCUCUGACGCUGAGGCACGAAAGCUAGGGUAGCGAA
rnacentral:rRNA from 1 species